UACGAAGGGGGCUAGCGUUGCUCGGAAUCACUGGGCGUAAAGCGCACGUAGGCGGCUUUCUAAGUCAGGGGUGAAAUCCUGGAGCUCAACUCCAGAACUGCCUUUGAUACUGGAGAGCUUGAGUCCGGAAGAGGUGAGUGGAACUCCGAGUGUAGAGGUGAAAUUCGUAGAUAUUCGGAAGAACACCAGUGGCGAAGGCGGCUCACUGGUCCGGUACUGACGCUGAGGUGCGAAGGCGUGGGGAGCAAACAGG
rnacentral:rRNA from 1 species